rnacentral:rRNA from 1 species
GAAUCCCGUCUUUGACAUGGACUGCCAGUGCCUAAUAGGUGCGCUCUCGAAGAGUCGAGCUGUUUGGGAAUGCAGCUCAWAAUGGGUGGUAAAUGCCAUCUAAAGCUAAAUAUUGGCGAGAGACCGAUAGCGAACAAGUACCGUGAGGGAAAGAUGAAAAGAACUUUGGAAAGAGAGUUAAACAGUACGUGAAAUUGCUGAAAGGGAAACGCUUGAAGUCAGUCGCGUCGGGUCGGAAAUCAACCUCGCUUUUGCUGGGUGUACUUUCCGUCCGAUGGGCCAGCAUCGGUUUCGGUUGCUGGACAAAGUUCUUUGGGAAAGUGGCAUCCUCGGAUGUGUUAUAGCCCUUGGGACAUAUGCAGCGGUCGGGAUUGAGGAACUCAGCACGCCCGCGAGGGCUGGGGCUUUUGUCCACAUGAACGUGCUUAGGAUGCUGGCAUAAUGGCUUUAAUCGACCCGUCUUGAAACACGGACCAAGGAGUCUAACAUGCCUGCGAGUGUUUGGGUGAAAAACCCAUGCGCGCAAUGAAAGUGAAGGUUGAGAUCCCUGUCGUGGAGAGCAUCGACGCCCAGACCAGACCUUCUGUGACGGAUCUGCGGUAGAGCACGCAUGUUGGGACCCGAAAGAUGGUGAACUAUGCCUGAAUAGGGUGAAGCCAGAGGAAACUCUGGUGGAGGCUCGUAGCGAUUCUGACGUGCAAAUCGAUCGUCAAAUUUGGGUAUAGGGGCGAAAGACUAAUCGAACCAUCUAGUAGCUGGUUCCUGCC